GAGGGUAUAGCUCAGUGGUAGAGCGCGUGCUUAGCAUGCACAAGGUCCUGGGUUCAAUCCCUCAGUACCUCCA
rfam:Camelus ferus unplaced genomic scaffold scaffold1250, whole genome shotgun sequence.